rnacentral:tRNA from 1 species
GCCUUCGUGGUGUAGUGGUUCUGCACGCUGGACUGGUAUUCCAGAGGUCCGUGGUUCGAUUCCCUUCGAAGGCG